UUGAACGCUGGCGGCAUGCCUUACACAUGCAAGUCGAACGGCAGCACGGGAGCAAUCCUGGUGGCGAGUGGCGAACGGGUGAGUAAUAUAUCGGAACGUGCCCAAUCGUGGGGGAUAACGCAGCGAAAGCUGUGCUAAUACCGCAUACGACCUGAGGGUGAAAGCGGGGGAUCGCAAGACCUCGCGCGAUAGGAGCGGUCGAUAUCGGAUUAGCUUGUUGGUGAGGUAAAGGCUCACCAAGGCGACGAUCCGUAGCUGGUCUGAGAGGACGACCAGCCACACUGGAACUGAGACACGGUCCAGACUCCUACGGGAGGCAGCAGUGGGGAAUUUUGGACAAUGGGCGCAAGCCUGAUCCAGCCAUGCCGCGUGAGUGAAGAAGGCCUUCGGGUUGUAAAGCUCUUUCAGACGGAAAGAAAUCGGGCGCGUGAAUAGCGUGCCUGGAUGACGGUACUGUCAGAAGAAGCACCGGCUAACUACGU
rnacentral:rRNA from 1 species